rnacentral:rRNA from 1 species
GCUUGUCUCAAAGAUUAAGCCAUGCAUGUCUAAGUACAAGCCUCAGUAAGGUGAAACCGCGAAUGGCUCAUUAAAUCACACCUAAUCUACUGGAAAGUUACUAGUUACUUGGAUAACUGAGGUAAUUCUAGAGCUAAUACAUGCGAAAAGACGGGCCGCAAGGCUUGUUGUAUUUAUUAGAUAAAAAAUCAAUACCUGUUCUGCAGGUCCUAUUGGUGAGUCAUAAUAACUGUUCGAAUCGCAUGCUUCGGCAGGCGAUAGUUCAUUCAAAUUUCUGCCCUAUCAGCUUUCGACGGUAGUGUAGUGGACUACCGUGGCGUUAACGGGUAACGGAGAAUUAGGGUUCGAUUCCGGAGAGGGAGCCUGAGAAAUGGCUACCACAUCCAAGGAAGGCAGCAGG